UACAGGGGGUGCAAACGUUGCUCGGAAUUAUUGGGCGUAAAGCGCGCGCAGGUGGUUUCUUAAGUCUGAUGUGAAAGCCCACGGCUCAACCGUGGAGGGUCAUUGGAAACUGGGAGACUUGAGUGCAGAAGAGGAAAGUGGAAUUCCAUGUGUAGCGGUGAAAUGCGUAGAGAUAUGGAGGAACACCAGUGGCGAAGGCGACUUUCUGGUCUGUAACUGACACUGAGGCGCGAAAGCGUGGGGAGCAAACAGG
rnacentral:rRNA from 1 species